rnacentral:lncRNA from 1 species
UGUGAUCGACUGCUCACAUGCAUGCACACUGAUUUUAUCUUUAGUAUUUUUUAAAUUUUAUAUGCAAUAUAUCAUGUCAUAGAUCCUAGAGUAGGUUGAUUUGAUGAUUAGAUCAUAUGCAUGUGAGAUUAAUUUGAUAAAUCUAAUUAUCUUCUACAGUAAUUUAUUCAAAAAAAUUUUAAAAUACAUGCAUGAAAUCGUCUAUGUUAACCAACAGCAUUGAUAUGGACCAUUAGUGAUUUUUCUACUUAUGGGAUGCUGUC